AACGCACAUUGCGCCCUUUGGUAUUCCGAAGGGCAUGCCUGUUCGAGCGUCAUUAUCAACCCUCAAGCUCGGCUUGUUAUUGGGCCCUUAUCGUUAAAGAUAGGCCCGAAAGAUAAUGGCGGCGUCAUAAAUGACCCCAGAUGCAGCGAGCUUAUAGCAUACAUCGAAAGGUUUUUAUGGCCCGGCCUUAACGAGAAGCAAUUCUCAAUUUAUUUAAAGGUUGACCUCGGAUCAGGUAGGAAUACCCGCUGAACUUAA
rnacentral:misc_RNA from 1 species